rnacentral:rRNA from 1 species
AUUGAACGCUGGCGGAACGCUUUACACAUGCAAGUCGAACGGCAGCACGGACUUCGGUCUGGUGGCGAGUGGCGAACGGGUGAGUAAUGUAUCGGAACGUGCCCCGUCGUGGGGGAUAACGUCGUGAAAAUUACGCUAAUACCGCAUACGAUCUAUGGAUGAAAGCGGGGGAUCGCAAGACCUCGCGCGAUUGGAGCGGCCGAUAUCAGAUUAGGUAGUUGGUGGGGUAAAGGCCCACCAAGCCAACGAUCUGUAGCUGGUCUGAGAGGACGACCAGCCACACUGGAACUGAGACACGGUCCAGACUCCUACGGGAGGCAGCAGUGGGAAAUUUUGGACAAUGGGCGAAAGCCUGAUCCAGCCAUUCCGCGUGCAGAAUGAAGGCCCUCGGGUUGUAAACUGCUUUUGUACAGAACGAAAAGGUUUCUACUAAUACUAGGAGCUCAUGACGGUACUGUAAGAAUAAGCACCGGCUAACUACGUGCCAGCCGCCGCGGUAA